GUUUUCAUGGUCCCGACACGAAUUGAUUAAAAUUCCCGGAUUUAACAAAUAAAGAAACUCGAUUUAACGAACGCUCAAUGCAAUGUUUUUUAGAAAAAGAAUCGCAUAUUGGAGAAAAAUGUGCAAAAUCACUUCCAAGAAAACUACUGUACGUAUCCAUUUAGACAUGAAUCAGUAUAAGUUUAAAACCUGGGGCUGUAUUCUGAUCACUGUAUCUCUCAGAGACAAAAGACGUGUCUACGUCAGUACAUACGUACUGUACUGUACACUGUAUUGUAACUGUAUGUUCUUAAAAUUUUAAUUUA
rnacentral:lncRNA from 1 species